GACAGCAACGAGCUCUCUGCAACUCUCACAUGUUCGCCCGCUGAAGCUAAGCAGGGCUGCCCCUGGUCAGUACCUAGAUAGGAGACCACAUGGGAAAGCUAGGUUGCUGCCA
rnacentral:rRNA from 1 species